AAUUGCUCCUAUUCCACGUUUUGCAUUAUCUCCUCACUUUUUGAAGAGGAAAAAACUGAAAUUGGUAAAAGCCUAAAGGUAAGAAACUUAUUCUGAUUUUUUUUGCAAUACUUAUCAGUAUAACAUUAUAAAGCAAUAAGAUUUUUGCCACAUGUUAAGCAUCCACAAUUUAGAUUUGAAAUUUUAGUCAUCUAUAUUUGGUGACCAUUGGUGAAAAAGGCAACAAAGAAACAAAAGAAAGAAACAAAGUAAAGCAAGUACAGUAUAUUACAAAGAAAAGACUACAAGUGAGGGAAAUAAAAGGAAAACAAAAAAAAAAAAAGAAUCUCCAAGAUACGAAACAAGGUUUUUAGGGAAUUAUGGAGCAAAUCAGAAAUCGCAUCUUUUCUCUACAAGUAAUUUCCAAAAAUUUGAUAAUUGGGGAUUUCUCAAUUGGGUAUAUAAAUCCCUAAUUUCUACCGCAAGAAGACAUGCAAGCAUUGUCUGAUUUUGGGUAAAGAGAGACAAGGGAGUAUUGUGAGUAAUACAGAAGUCUUGGGGUAUAAUUGGAGUAGGAGACGACAGAUUCAAGAACGAGUUGCCGGCAGAAUUUCGACUAGUACAAAGUGAUAUAUUCUCCUCUCUUCUCUUCUAUUACUUUCAUUGGUGUAUUGUUCUAAAUUUAAUGAACUUGAAUCUUGUUUAAACUUGAAUUUUAUCAUAAUUUUGAGUUGUUUAUUGAGUAUUAAAAUUAUUUGGUAUUCAAAAUUACACUGUUAUAGAUGCCGUAUGAUUGAUAUUUGUGUAUAAUUUGCUAUCUUAUUAUGUUUGAAUUACAAUCAGUUGCUAAUUAUGUAGUUUGGCCUAGUUUAAAUUGCAUAAUCAAAGUAGCGACUAAUGUUAGUUUUUUUUUUUUUUUUUUUUUUUUUUUUUUUUUUUUUUUUGAGAGGAGACUAAUGUUAGUUUGGGUCUGCGAAUGGGUCAGAUUAAAUUUUAGGAUAUAAUUUGAUCUAAUUAUAUUAAGUACCUAUGUAUUAAUUUAGUUAGGAUUAACGAUGUUCUUCUAGUUUAGAAUUAGUGUCGGCCUAGUUUAAUACUAAUAUAAAGUAAGGAAGAAUAGGGUGGGAUUGCUAUCAAAACCACUAUAGUUAAUCUAUUAGAUUAAUCUUCAACUCGAUAAUUAUACUCAAUAUUAUGACCAAAGUUACUAAGUUUAAUGGUGGAAAUUACCGGACUUGCUUAUCAUCACUUGUAAAUAAUAGUUUAAUACUUGUUUUAGUUCAGUUACUAUUAGUUACUACAAUCUUAAACCCCCCAAAGCUAAGUAAAUAGGUAAAUAGUUGUAUAAUCUCGAUUUUAUAUAUGUUAAUAAUAUUUUUCUCAGUUAAACUUUGAAGUAAGGAAUUUAGUAGUCUCUCCGUGGGAUCGACCCUUUCUUACUCUUUUCUACUUGUUAAUAUUUUUGAGGUCUAAGAAUAGUUUUUUUAAUUUUAUACGGUAAAUGACACGUAUUAAAUUUUGGCGUCGUUGCUGGGAAGAUUUAUAAUAUUCUCUUCUUCAUAGUUAAAUUGAGUUGCUAUAUUUCUGUUCUUAAUUUUCUUAUCUAGUUAUGACAAAAAAAAAUCUUUGCUAUCUUGGUUUGUCUAAUCUAGUUGGGUGAGUUGGAUAUUUCUCAUUAUAUAGUAUGUUUCUUGAUCUUGGUUUUUGCAUACUAUAUGCUUGGUUGUUUCUUUCUUGCUCAUGUAUUAGUUUGAAAUUUGCCUUUUUUUUAGAGGUCUUAUGAAGCUACUGUUCUGUUUUUGCUUGUGUGAUUUGAUAAUUCAGUUUUGCUUUAGGAUUAGUUAUUCGUGCACUAGUGCUUAGAUUAAAUAAUAUGUUAUCUAUGCCAUUGUUUAUCAUGUAGUUCAAUUAUAUGAGCUUGUAUAAGUAAUUGAACUUUCCAUAGUUGCUUGCACCACUAAAGUUCUCUGUAGGUAAGCUAGAGUAAUUUAUGAAAGUGACCUUUAUGCUAUCUCUCAACUUUUACUUAAACUUAUAAUGAACAGAAGAGUUUAGGCAUUAUGUUAUUUAAGAUUGUCCAACCUACUUGUGGUCUGUUCAUAUAUUUUAAGAUGAGAAUUAAAGUGUUUGCUCGAUAAUGUACUAAAUUCUAGUUCAAGGAAGAUAAACUUAUAUAUGUUCGAUGGGUCUAAUAAGUAUCCCUUGUUUUUUGGCCAAAUUUUUGCAAGGUAUAAUCUUGUUUAAUCCAAUCUUGCAUAUUUUAAAGCUAAAGUUAUCUUUGAUCUAGUAAGUUAAAUAUUAUGAGCAGUACAUCCUUAUGUCUUGCUGACUUAUUAUCUAAUUUACCCUAAAUCCAAAGUUUAUCAAUCUUUUGUAGGAUGUAGAUUAUAUACUAAUAUUCUAUAGACUCUAGUUCUUUUUUACCUGGCUAUAAAUAAUUGAUUCCCAUCAUGUACACAUUUUGUGUGAAUUAGGUAGUAUUUAUUCAUAUGCUUAAAAAUUGAGCUUAACCUUCAGCAUUAUAGGCUGCCAGUUUCAUGAUUAUUAAGUAUGCUUGUGGCAUGUAGGCCUAAUUUUGGUUAAUAAGAAGUUAGAAAGAUUAAUGGCAUAUAUCACUAGCUAUGUGUUGAAGAUCCUGAAAAUGAUUGUCGCUUCAUAAAAUCUGAAAUCAAAUUGUUCACAACUUCACUACCUUACUUUUGUAUGAUAUUAGCUUGUUCUGUUGGUAGUAUUUUUGUCACUUAGCUCUCUGCACCAUAUGACUUCUAAUACAAUAAAAUGUGGAUGUCAUUACAUCUUACUAGUGUGUGAAAAUGUGUUCUACCUCCAACAAUGAUUUUCAAACUUGUCCCUGUAAGUUGUAAGCAUAAAACAUAGAGUAAUAUGUCAAGGAUUUCUGUAUAGUCGCCCUUUUGAAUCAAGUAGCAUCUUUUGUUUUUCUUCCUACCUAACAUACAAUGAAUUUACUCCUUUAAAGGCUACCACUAAAGAAGACUAAAAAAAUUAGGCAGCUUAGAAUUUCAUGCUUGCUGUCAGUUUGCAUGUUUGGGCUGCAUUUUUCCUCCUCUAUAUUAUCACGCCUUUAACUUAUUUUACCUUCAUUGCAUAAGUCAAUUAUUAAUGAUUUGAUUAGGUAUAACUUUUAUGUGAGGUUUGAUGCUCUCUUAUAUGUCUUAGUGCAUAGUGUUAGUUUCUCUAACUGCUUGAUGAUUUUGAAAAUAAAUUCUUGAUUCUUUAAGUUAUGCUCUAAAUAAGUCAAUGCUAAACCGCACUAUUAUUCUGUUUGAGAGAUCAUGUUUAUUUCAGAGCACUUAAUCUGCCGUUCUAAAAUGAGAAUCACAUCAUAGUAUUAAGGAAGUAUUGUAAAUAUAAAUUUUAUACACGCUCUAUAAGGGAGUUAAGUUCAGUUUUUUUUUUAGUAAAUCGCAGCCAUGCUUCCUCUUGUUUAGCUAUUGAUCAUUAGAACUGGAUUAUGAAAACCAAUCGAACUAAAGAAUAUGAACUAUGUGCUUAAGAUAUAAAUUAAUGGACUUACCCUUCAUGUUUAUAAAAUGAAACAAGCCGAUUUUCUUGAAAUGUUAAACUGGGCAGCAUGAGUAUAAUCGUGCAACUGUGCAAGUUAUCCUUAUUUCGCGCUUUAAGUUAUGUGGGAUCUUAUGAUUCAUGUUUCUACUGUUUCUAUCUCCAAGUUAUUACCUGCUAAUAUUUAUUCUUUAUUCGAUAUAUUGAGGAACUGAGAUGAUUACUAUCACAGAUGAACUUCAUAUUACCACUUUCUACUUCUGUCAGCAGUUUAAACAACCUAAAUAGAGCGGGUGGCCAGAAAAACAAGUAAAGAAUUCUUACAAAAACAACUAGAAGAACGUCUUAAUCUUGAGAACUUAUUAAAAGACGAAGAAGAGAUGGGUGAUGAAAGAACCUUGAAGGAGCUAGCUGCACCUAAAUUGGAUGAUGAACCACUUGGCAUUGUUUUUCCAACCUUGGAGAAACCUCUAAAGUUAAACUCAGGUUUUCUCAACCUUUUACCAAAAUUCUAUGGUCGUGGAGGCGAUGAUCCAAAUUGAUUUCUUAAAGAAUUUUUGGUUAUGUGUACUUCUAUGAAACCAUAAGGUAUUGAUCCUAAUCAUGUCAAACUACAUUCCUUUCCAUUUUCAUUGUAUGAUAUAGCGAAAAUUGGUUGUAUUCCCUUCCUCCUAGAUCAAUUACUACGUGGGAUGCACUACAAAAAGCUUUUCUAGAAAAUUUCUUCCCUGCCAGUAGAAUUGGAUCCAUUAGGAAGGAGAUGUGUGGUGUCAAACAACAUUCUAAUGAGUUAUUAUACGAAUAUUGAGAACGUUUCAAGAGACUUUGUGCUUCUUGCCCCCAACAUCAAAUUAGUGACCAACUUCUUAUCCAAUAUUUUUAUGAGGGUCUUUUAGGUGACAAUAAAAAUAUGAUUGAUGCGGCUAGUGGGGGUGCUUUAGUGGAUAAAACACCUAUACUAGCUAGACAACAUUAGUAGAAUAAAUGCUUAUUGCUGCGGUUCUACCUAUACAGAGCAAUAUAUCAUGCAAAAAGAAAUAAAAAAUAGAAAAUAACAAUAUUGUUGCAGUUCCCGCCCAAAACCGCAGCAAUAUUGUUCAACGGAUACAUUUUGAAAAAAAUGUGGGGCCCUGGCCAGCUAAUAUUGUUGCGGUUUCCACGUAGGACCGCAACAAUAUAUUAAAAAAAUAUUUUUUCAAUAUAUUGUUGCGGUCCUACGUGGAAACCGCAGCAAUAUUAGCUGUACUCACCAAAAAAUACGGGGGCGGGUUUCUUUUGGUAAUACGACAUUCUCUUAGUCUCUCACACUCUUUGACACUCUUACCAAAAAACCGGCGAGUUAUUUCCGGCGACUGGGUUUGGCGAUAUUUCUGGCGAUCGGAGUGGGUGACUUUCCGGCCGUUUCUUUACUUUUUUCGUUUUGGGUCCUCAAUUGUUACUCCUCAAUUCGCAUUUUGGGUCUUCGCAUCUCCACCGUUUUUCCUCCUUCUCCACUGACGCCACUCCUUCACCGGCGCCACUUUUUCACCGGCGCUUCUCCUCCCACCUCCGGCGCUUCCCCUCCCACCGGCGAGGGUUUGUCAUAUUAGGUUACACCGACACCUAAAAAACAAAAAGGGAUUUCAGGGGAGGCUGUUAGGUCUUCUACCAGCUGCAUUCAGCCAGUUCGACUUCUCAGUUUAGUCCAGUUAUCGAUGAUCGAUCGUUCUUGGACUCCCUCACUGAAGACUGCAGGG